rnacentral:rRNA from 1 species
AGCGGCGGACGGGUGAGUAACACGUGGGUAACCUGCCUGUAAGACUGGGAUAACUCCGGGAAACCGGAGCUAAUACCGGAUAGUUCCUUGAACCGCAUGGUUCAAGGAUGAAAGACGGUUUCGGCUGUCACUUACAGAUGGACCCGCGGCGCAUUAGCUAGUUGGUGGGGUAAUGGCUCACCAAGGCGACGAUGCGUAGCCGACCUGAGAGGGUGAUCGGCCACACUGGGACUGAGACACGGCCCAGACUCCUACGGGAGGCAGCAGUAGGGAAUCUUCCGCAAUGGACGAAAGUCUGACGGAGCAACGCCGCGUGAGUGAUGAAGGUUUUCGGAUCGUAAAGCUCUGUUGUUAGGGAAGAACAAGUGCGAGAGUAACUGCUCGCACCUUGACGGUACCUAACCAGAAAGCCACGGCUAACUACGUGCCAGCAGCCGCGGUAAUACGUAGGUGGCAAGCGUUGUCCGGAAUUAUUGGGCGUAAAGGGCUCGCAGGCGGUUUCUUAAGUCUGAUGUGAAAGCCCCCGGCUCAACCGGGGAGGGUCAUUGGAAACUGGGAAACUUGAGUGCAGAAGAGGAGAGUGGAAUUCCACGUGUAGCGGUGAAAUGCGUAGAGAUGUGGAGGAACACCAGUGGCGAAGGCGACUCUCUGGUCUGUAACUGACGCUGAGGAGCGAAAGCGUGGGGAGCGAACAGGAUUAGAUACCCUGGUAGUCCACGCCGUAAACGAUGAGUGCUAAGUGUUAGGGGGUUUCCGCCCCUUAGUGCUGCAGCUAACGCAUUAAGCACUCCGCCUGGGGGAGUACGGUCGCAAGACUGAAACUUCAAAGGAAUUGACGGG